rnacentral:rRNA from 1 species
UACGUAGGAGGCAAGCGUUGUCCGGAUUUACUGGGUUUAAAGGGUGUGUAGGCGGGUCUUUAAGUCAGUGGUGAAAUCUCCGAGCUCAACUUGGAAACUGCCAUUGAUACUAUUGAUCUUGAAUUUUGUUGAGGUAGGCGGAAUAAGUCAUGUAGCGGUGAAAUGCAUAGAUAUGACUUAGAACACCAAUUGCGAAGGCAGCUUGCUAAACAAAUAUUGACGCUGAGGCACGAAAGCGUGGGGAUCAAACAGG